rnacentral:rRNA from 1 species
CGUAAGGGCUCGCAGGCGGUUUCUUAAGUCUGAUGUGAAAGCCCCCGGCUCAACCGGGGAGGGUCAUUGGAAACUGGGGAACUUGAGUGCAGAAGAGGAGAGUGGAAUUCCACGUGUAGCGGUGAAAUGCGUAGAGAUGUGGAGGAACACCAGUGGCGAAGGCGACUCUCUGGUCUGUAACUGACGCUGAGGAGCGAAAGCGUGGGGAGCGAACAGGAUUAGAUACCCUGGUAGUCCACGCCGUAAACGAUGAGUGCUAGGUGU